rnacentral:lncRNA from 1 species
UAGUUGAAGACACUGAUGCUGGCAGAAGUUAAUUAAGUGAUUUGCCCAGGGUCACACAGCUAGUAAAUGCCUGAGGCCAAAUUUGAACUCAGGUCUUCCUGACUUUUAGGCCUAGCAAUCUAUCCCAUCAUGACACCUGAUUGUCCAAAAACCAAAAAACAUGUCAGUUUGGUUUAAUAUGCAGUUGCAUGAAGGGGAGUAAUUUGAAAUGUCUGGAAGAUUAAACUUGAACCAGACUGUGAAAGGCUUUAAAGGCUAAACACAUGUUAAUAUUAUUUUUUUCUAGAGGCAACAAGGAGUCAUUGCAUCUUCCUAAGCAGCUACAAUUUAAAUAUCUGUCACCAGGUAAAAAGUGGUCACUGAGAUAUGGCUAGGAGGUUCAAAAAGGUAGGUUUCCUAUAGCAUGUCGGCC